rnacentral:tRNA from 1 species
CUGAUAAUGUAGAGGUCGGCAGUUCGAGUCUGCCUGGGACUA